AGUUGUCUUGAAAUGGUGAGAGACGGAAGGCACGCGAAUUUCUUGGAUACCUACUUGCAUCGAUAUUGCUGUUCCUGCUUCCAUUUCCUUAAUGACGUGGAGCGUGAGGCGCGAAGGAGACCUGUCGAAAAAGAAAAUGAUGAAAUGACGAGGACGAACGGUGAGGGAUGGACGGCGAAUAGAAAGGUGAGGCGGUCCUUGUGUCACCAUCUCGGAACUCCGUCCAGGUGAAGGCUGCGGCACUCCGUGUUCCUGGCAGCACACCGUCCACGCACAUCCUCCCGUCCUUCAAGACAGCUCGUGAAGGCCGCGGCGGGGGCUUGUUGAAGGACUGCGACACUGCCAGGACAACAUCUAGUUGGAGGGCUCCGAUGACUGGCGUUGUCCACACCACUGAAAACUAAAAGGAACUAUACCAGCAUUUCAGCUCCGUCAUCAAGCCAUCAUAUCUUUAGAUACUAUUUAAUACUACUUGUAAUUACAGGUAAAAAUGCUAAUGGUAACUCUCUUCUUAAUUAGACUAAAACUGCCUCCA